CKGCUCAGUAACACGUCGAUAAUCUGCCCUUAGUUCUGGAAUACCCUUGGGAAACUGAGGAUAAGACCGGAUAGGGAAAUCCAACUGGAAGGUGGAUUUCUUCAAACGUAAGGACUAAGGAUGAGUUGGCGGCGGAUUAGGUUGUUGGCGAGGUAACAGCCCACCAAGCCGAAGAUCCGUAGGGGCCUUGAGAGAGGUAGCCCCGAGAAGGGCACUGAGAUACUGGCCCUAGCUCCACGGAGUGCAGCAGGCGCGAAACCUUUACAAUGCACGAAAGUGUGAUAAGGGAACCCCAAGUGAUUAUGCAAAGCAUUAUCUUUUGCUUAGAGCAAAUAUCUAAGCGAAUAAGUGGUGGGCAAUACCUGUGCCAGCCGCCGCGGUAACCCAGGAGCCACAAGUGGCAACCACCUUUAUUGGGCCUAAAGCGUCCGUAGCCGGUUUUGUAAAUUUUCUGUGAAAUCGUUGCGCUUAACGUAACGGCGUGCAGAAAACACUGCAAGACUAGGGACCGGGAGGAGUCAGAGGUAUUUUGGGGGGAGCGGUAAAAUGCUAUAAUCCCCGAAGGACCACCUGUGGCGAAAGCGUCUGACUAGAACGGAUUCGACGGUGAGGGACGAAAGCUAGGGGAGCAAUCCGGAUUAGAUACCCGAGUAGUCCUAGCUGUAAACUCUGCGGGCUAGGUGUUACGUACUCUUAGGGAAUACGUGGUGUCGUAGCGAAGGUGCUAAGCCCGCCGCCUGGGGAGUACGGUCGCAAGGCUGAAACUUAAAGGAAUUGGCGGGGGAGCAC
rnacentral:rRNA from 1 species